rnacentral:rRNA from 1 species
CUACGUGCCAGCAGCCGCGGUAAUACGGAAGGUCCAGGCGUUAUCCGGAUUUAUUGGGUUUAAAGGGAGCGUAGGCUGGAGAUUAAGUGUGUUGUGAAAUGUAGACGCUCAACGUCUGAAUUGCAGCGCAUACUGGUUUCCUUGAGUACGCACAACGUUGGCGGAAUUCGUCGUGUAGCGGUGAAAUGCUUAGAUAUGACGAAGAACUCCGAUUGCGAAGGCAGCUGACGGGAGCGCAACUGACGCUGAAGCUCGAAGGUGCGGGUAUCGAACAGGAUUAGAUACCCUGGUAGUCCGCACAGUAAACGAUGGAUGCCCGCUGUUGGUACCUGGUAUCAGCGGCUAAGCGAAAGCAUUAAGCAUCCCACCUGGGGAGUACGCCGGCAACGGUGAAACUCAAAGGAAUUGACGGGGGCCCGCACAAGCGGAGGAACAUGUGGUUUAAUUCGAUGAUACGCGAGGAACCUUACCCGGGCU